rnacentral:rRNA from 1 species
UGGGGAAUAUUGCACAAUGGGCGCAAGCCUGAUGCAGCCAUGCCGCGUGUAUGAAGAAGGCCUUCGGGUUGUAAAGUACUUUCAGCGGGGAGGAAGGUGUUGAGGCUAAUAACCUCAGCAAUUGACGUUACCCGCAGAAGAAGCACCGGCUAACUCCGUGCCAGCAGCCGCGGUAAUACGGAGGGUGCAAGCGUUCAUCGGAAUUACUGGGCGUAAAGCGCACGCAGGCGGUCUGUCAAGUCGGAUGUGAAAUCCCCGGGCUCAACCUGGGAACUGCAUUCGAAACUGGCAGGCUAGAGUCUUGUAGAGGGGGGUAGAAUUCCAGGUGUAGCGGUGAAAUGCGUAGAGAUCUGGAGGAAUACCGGUGGCGAAGGCGGCCCCCUGGACAAAGACUGACGCUCAGGUGCGAAAGCGUGGGGAGCAAACA